CUAUCCUAGAAAUCUUCCAUUGACCUCAGUGGCACCUGUUUGAACCCAGCAAAUGCCCAGCUCUCCUUGCAUGGCAUGGCAGGGAGUCACUAACAUGAAAGAAGGAGGCAGUCCAGACCAGAAAAGCACGUGUUGGGAAAGACAACUGGGAGUUUUGAACAUGACUCUGACUUCUAGGAUAGGCAGCUGCAAUAAUGCGUAGUUUUGGUUUAACAAGAAGCUUCUCAAGCCUUUACCAGCCCCAAAGAAGUCUUACAGUGGAUCACACUUCAGCCUCAACACAGGAGCUUUCUUAAGUUAUGAGGAGAGGAAAGUAUACUCUGGACGAAGGAAAUGGUGAAGGAAGCAUUCAGCGUGGAAUAGCAACAGAUGGUCUCUGUAUCUUCCCCUCCUAUUCAUCCAAAGCUCUCAGGGCUGCAUUCCUAAUCAACCAAAAGCAGGCAUCCCACACCCAUGCCGAGAGGAAUAACCUGAGCAUGCAAACUCUGCUUUGAAAUAAAUGUUAAAGAUACAUGACCUAUAUUGUCUGG
rnacentral:lncRNA from 1 species